rnacentral:lncRNA from 1 species
ACAUCUUCGGAGCCAUUGAUAGAGAAUGAGAUGGAGGAGGUUGAUGGAAGAAGGUUGAGAGGAGAAAGAGAAUGAGAAGGAGAAGGAGAGGAGAUGGUUGUGAAGAUGACAGAUAGGGAUUCUGAUCGAGAAAGAGAUGGAGAAGGAGAGGAGAUGGUUAGAGAUUCUGAUCGAGAGAAGGAGAUGGAGAAGGAGAGGAGAUGGUUGUGAAGAUGAGCUAAGGAUUCUGAAGAAGAUGGA